rnacentral:tRNA from 1 species
GCCCAGUUAGCUUAGUUGGUGGCGCGUCUGCCUUGUAAGCGCUAGGCCGCGGGUUCGAUUCCCGCCCGGGGCG